CGUCUGACUGGAAUAAUAAUGAAAGAGAGUCUGACUCGUUCAGGUGCGCACAAUGGCGGGAAUGUUUUCUCUUGACGGCGCCGCUCGGAAGACAAGAUUAGAAGGACGACCUUUGACGAGCGGCGAAGGAGCUGAGAGCUUCGCGGGCGUUCAUGUCUGCUUCAGAAAAUGCAAUGCUGUCCACACAAAUGACUGCAGGUGGGCUCCAUUUCCUGGUAAAUAAUGUACAACGACGUCAUCGUCCAUAAAGCAUCAACAACGAUGACAACAAGGACGACCAAGGAGAUUUCCUCUUCAUUCCCUGGAUUCCAGCUGUGUGUCUCGUCUUCCCGGAUUCCCUCUGGUGUUCUUGCUGUCUCCCCGGAUCUCGACCUCACGCUUGGACACGGACUCUGACGCCUCGCUCCUGCCCCUGACCACGGACCUCCGAGACUGCCUUGCCACUUCUGGACUUCCGCACCUCUCACAACACGCACCUUCAACAUUGUACGGUAAAACACUCCAGCUAGACGCACCACAUAGUCAAACCAUACAUGUUUGGGUGUAUCACACAAAUAAUUUUAUUAUAUUAAUAAAUACGCCUCAGGCUAAAGGACGUCCCUGCCUCAGUGCCGUCUUCUUCUCCACCGCACGCAACACUUA